rnacentral:rRNA from 2 species
CUGAAGGAACGUUGAAGACGACGACGUUGAUAGGCCGGGUGUGUAAGCGCAGCGAUGCGUUGAGCUAACCGGUACUAAUGAACCGUGAGGCUUAACCUUACAACGCCGAAGCUGUU